rnacentral:rRNA from 1 species
CCCUUAGAUGUUCUGGGCUGCACGCGCGCUACACUGAAGCGUUCAACGAGUAUUCACCUUGCCCGGGAGGGUUGGGUAAUCUUUUGAAAACGCUUCGUGAUGGGGAUAGAUUAUUGCAAUUAUUAAUCUUCAACGAGGAAUUCCUAGUAAGCGCGAGUCAUCAGCUUGCGUCGAUUACGUCCCUGCCCUUUGUACACACCGCCCGUCGCUCCUACCGAUUGGGUGUGCUGGUGAAAUGUUCGGAUCGGCCGUUUGUCGCGGUUUCCGCGUCAUGUGGCUGAGAAGUUCAUUAAACCCUCCCACCUAGAGGAAGGAGAAGUCGUAACA